GGGUUAGUAGGUUGGUCAUGCCUCAGGUAUGUACUGGUCUCACUGAUUCCUCCUUCCUGAUGAGCCGUAAUGCCAUUAAUUUGGUGUUGCGGGGAAUCUGGACUGUUACUUUGAAAAAAUUAGAGUGUUUAAAGCAAGUGAAUAACAGCCUGAAUACAUUAGCAUGGAAUAAUAGAAUAG
rnacentral:rRNA from 1 species